rnacentral:rRNA from 1 species
UACGAAGGGGGCUAGCGUUGCUCGGAAUUACUGGGCGUAAAGGGCGCGUAGGCGGGUGUUUAAGUCAGAGGUUAAAUCCCAGGGCUCAACCCUGGAACUGCCUUUGAUACUGAGGAUCUUGAGUUCGGGAGAGGUGAGUGGAACUGCGAGUGUAGAGGUGAAAUUCGUAGAUAUUCGCAAGAACACCAGUGGCGAAGGCGGCUCACUGGCCCGAUACUGACGCUGAGGCACGAAAGCGUGGGGAGCAAACAGG